rnacentral:rRNA from 1 species
GACGAACGCUGGCGGCGUGCCUAAUACAUGCAAGUCGAGCGGACUUAAAAAGCUUGCUUUUUAAGUUAGCGGCGGACGGGUGAGUAACACGUGGGCAACCUGCCUGUAAGACUGGGAUAACUUCGGGAAACCGGAGCUAAUACCGGAUAAUCCUUUUCUACUCAUGUAGAAAAGCUGAAGGACGGUUUACGCUGUCACUUACAGAUGGGCCCGCGGCGCAUUAGCUAGUUGGUGAGGUAACGGCUCACCAAGGCGACGAUGCGUAGCCGACCUGAGAGGGUGUUCGGCCACUCUGGGACUGAGACACGGCCCAGACUCCUACGGGAGGCAGCAGUAGGGAAUCUUCCGCAAUGGACGAAAGUCUGACGGAGCAACGCCGCGUGAGUGAUGAAGGUUUUCGGAUCGUAAAACUCUGUUGUUAGGGAAGAACAAGUACGAGAGUAACUGCUCGUACCUUGACGGUACCUAACCAGAAAGCCACGGCUGACUACGU